GGCACUAACCCUUAAGCUGGGGGGGAGGGUUGUUAUGUUAGGCCAUGACCGACUAACAUAACCGCUGAAGAUGGAGGCGACAUGUUUCUGCAAGACGUGUGUUGACUUUCGACAGACUACACGGCAUUAUAUCCCAGAUGACAGAAAUCUUCAAAACCACUGCUGUCAGAAGCUCAAAUACUACACAGUAUAGUAAUUCUUUAUACAUUGGUUGGUGGGUAAGCAGUUCAGAUUUCAGACUAUCUCAAGAGAUGAUGAAAAGUUUGGGCUUUGCGAGUGCUACAUUGGUCCGACCUCAGACUUCAAAGAAAAGGAGGGCUACAAACCAAAUGUUAAACUCGACUACACAGAUUAUGAUGGACAUGUACUUAAUACAAAGGAGGCUUUCAGAUACCUGUCUCAUGAAUUUCAUGGAAAGGGACCUGGCAAAAAUAAAGUGGAGAAACGAAAGAAGAAAACUGAACAGAAGGGAUUGAUGAAACAGAUGAGCUCAACAGGCACCCACUCGGAACACUUAGCCUCUUGCGGCAGAAGCAGAAAGAAAUGCAGUCUCCAUUCGUGGUCCUUUGUGGUGGUAAACAAACAUGAGGCAGCCAUCUCAAAAACCAAACUGCAAAUUCUUCAUGAAAUAUGCUGACACCAACUCUGAACUUUGGCAUGCACUUAUGUUUUUAUUGUUUCCUACUGUCUGGAAUAUCGUCUCUAUUUAUAAAUAAGACACAGCUUGCAGCUGCCGACAGUGCCUAUGUGUACUGGAAGGAAGGCCACAGAGUUCAUGUCACAUUCAAAUGAGUACAGUGGU